rnacentral:lncRNA from 1 species
UUUUUUUUUUUGUCUUUUUAGGUCCGGCAUCCACAGCAUAUGGAAAUUCCCAGGCUUGGGGUCAAAUCAAAGCUGUAGCUACUAGCAUACACCACAGCCACAGCAUCGCCAGAUCUGAGCCGUGUCUGCGACCUACGCCACAGCUCACAGCAACGCCAGAUCCUUAACCCACUGAGUGAGGCCAGGGAUCAAACCUGCAACUUCAUGGAUACCAGUCAGGCUCAUUACCGCUGAGCCACGAGGGGAACUCCAUAAGUCUGAUUCUUUUCACAAAGAAAAAAGGCAAGGACCCUUGUGAAUUGUCUCCAGAUCCUUGACUCUAGGGGAUGUAUGACAGAGAACAGAGAGGCUCGGUACUUGCCCAGAGGCACACAGCAGGAUUCCGCCAGGGAGCUUGGGUAGAGGUAAGAGAAGAAAUGUAUGAAGCAAGACCCCUCUCCAGGAGCCUCUUCUUGUACACCUUCCUGCAAAACCAUGGCCCCAGCUUCCUGGACGAGCAAGUGGUGGGGGUUCCCGGCGUGACCAAUAUCUUGGAGUUCCACCCGGAGGUCUCCCCCCACAGCAGUGAGGCCCCCCAUCACCUGGCCAUGCAGCUGGCCUCCAUUGCCGAUGAUCUGGAGCUGAGGUUGCUGCUGCCCCAGUUCGCCGAGCCACUCUGGAUGAUCGUGUACAGCUCUUUCUUCCCCUUUAGCCAGAUAGGCCCGAGGGAUGUUCUUAGAAGCUUCAUGAUUGCUUUCACGAACCUCAGGGAGAACCGAAGGCUCAGGAGCAUCUUGUCCCUCAGGGACAGGGUAAGCUUUGAGAUUUGGGGGCCUUGAUGUGGCGACAUCAAGGAGCAGCUGCUCCAUGGGGCACACGCUCUGGAGGCCACCGUCCCCACCACGCCCGACUGCCUCGUCUUGCCUGGUCUCCUCUUUCUGCUGCCGCCAGGCCCCUGAGGGGACGCCUGGAUCCCUGCCUGUUUCCCCACCCACGCUGCUGUCCCUCUGCCAGGAGUGGCCCUCACCUGGCAGGCUGGCUCCUCACUGUCGCCUCUUGUCCUGAGCAGCUUUCCUAACCGCUCCCCUUCCUCCCCAGCAGCACUGCAGGUUGUCCCUCGUGCCAGUUGGUUGUGUCACACCGGCUAUGGCAGGCUGGCAGCCCCUUCUGCCACGGCCCAGAGCCACUCUUCCAUCCCUCUUCUGCUGCUCCUCUUUCUGUCACCUCCUCCCAGUUCUGAGUGAGGUGCUCCCGCCUCCCCCACCUGACCUGACUCCCCGGUCACCACCCAGCCUCCCCGCUGACUGGCUGGUCCCCGUGUCCAGAGCGGGUGCAGGGGGUGAGGCAGACUGAAGGGGCUCACGUGUCCCCUCCUUCAUCCCACAGGUGUCUCCCAGCCUGUGGCCUGAGCUGGCGCUGUCCCUGCUGCUGGUGGUGAUGCUUGCCUGGAGGUGACCAGCUGCUGGCCAGUGUGGGGUGGGGCGGGCCCCUCCCCCUUGACCACCACCCUGGAGGUGGCCGUUUUGGAUUUGUUGUCUUUAACUGGUGAUCUUUUUUUUUUUUUUUUUUAAAUAUUUAAACUCCAAGUGCUGGGACACUGAGGUUCAUAUUCAUUUUUUUCUUUUCUUUCUUUUUUUUGUAAGAGAAAUGAAUUCAUUAUACUUCCAGGGUCGUUACUGGUGAACGCACCUGCUCCCCUGGCCCAGCCCGCGCUGUGCCGAGAAGGUGCCUCCUCCUUGUGGGUUGGUCACAGCGGACGUCAGGGGGGGUGCUGGUCACACCCCUGUGUCUGUGAUGCCUGCGGCAAAAAAGAAUCUGCUGGAAUAGAUUUCUGCAGGGUGAGGAGAGCUCAAUAAAAUGUUGGUUUCCAG